GACGAACGCUGGCGGCGUGCUUAACACAUGCAAGUCGAACGGAAAGGCCCUGCUUUUGUGGGGUGCUCGAGGGGCGAACUGGUGAGUAACACGUGAGUAACCUGCCCUUGACUUUGGGAUAACUUCAGGAAACUGGGGCUAAUACCGGAUAGGAGCUCCUGCUGCAUGGUGGGGGUGGGAAGGUUUCGGCGGUUGGGAGUGGACACGCGGCUUAUCAGCUUGUUGGAGAGGUAGUGGCUUACCAAGGCUUUGACGCGUGGCCGGCCUGGUCGGGUGAGCGGCCACAUCGGGCUGGGGAUACGACCCGGACCCCACUGCGACGCAGAGGUGGGGUAGAUUAUACAAUGGGAUGAAGGCUGAUGCGACCACGCCGCGUGCGGGAUGACGUCAUGCGGGUUGGGAACUGAAUUCGCCUGAGCCGAAGCGAUAGUGACGGUAACGGGUAAAUAAGCACCGGCUAACUACGUG
rnacentral:rRNA from 1 species